GAAGUAAACAAUGAUUCCAAAAAUUUUAGACUGAACUACCCGCUGGGGAACAGGGGAUAGCACUAAGUGGUUCUAGAUUGUAGUACUUCUGCUAUUUGCUCCAAUACUUCCUUUAAUGAUUUGUUGUUAUUGCUUAUUUAGUUGUCUAUUUUCCUGAUAAGCUUUAAUGAUAGUCUAUAUGUCAUGCUAAGUGGUAUUUACUAAUAACAAUAAUUAAUGCUAUUUAUUGCUUAGAUCUCCCCAAACUUCAAGGUGCUUAAUAGUUGAUAUAAACAACAAAAUUCUGUCAUAAGAAUGAAGGGUGGCAGGAUUUGGUAGUAGAGCAACGUACCAGCCACUGGCUUGAGUUCAGCAAAAAAACUGAGUGGAGUUCAAGUCGUCACUGUGGAUCUUAAAACUAAAGACAUGAAACUGAAGCAGAAGUUUAAAAUGAACUGGAUGAAGAGUGCUGCAUUGAGAAGAUCAAGUUAUUCAUGUGAUAGUAGAAGUUAAUGUGGUUAAAACAAAAGGCUCUUUUGUGAAGCUGGUGCAACAAGCAGAGGAAGACAGUGGAAAAUCCACAAAGACCAUGGAAAUGAUGUUAGGCAAAAAGCAAAUUCGAGUGAUUUUCUUAUUGGAGUUCACAAUGGGUCGUAAAUCAGUGGAGACAACUGGCAACAUCAACAACACAUUUGGCCUAGGAACUACUAACGAACAUACAGUGCAGUGGUGGUUCAAGAAGUUUUGCAAAGGAGAUCCUUGAAGAUGAGGACAUAGUGGCCAGCUAUCGGAAGUUGACAACAACCAGCUGAGAGUAAUCAUCCAAGCUGAUCCUCUUACAACUACAGGAGAAGCUGCAGAAGAACUCAACAUCGGCCAUUGUAUAGUCAUUCAGCACUUGAAUCAAAUUGGAGAGGUGAUAAAAGCUUGAUAAGAGGAUGCCUCAUGAGCUAACCAAAAAUCGUUGUUUUGAAGUGUUGUCUUAUCUUAUUCUACGUAACAACGAUGAACUAUGAACUAUUUGUCAAUCGGAUUGUGAUAUACAAUCAAAAGUGGAUUUUAUAUGACAACCAGCGAUGAUGAGCUCAGUGGCUGGAUCAAGAAGAAGCUUCAAAACACCUCCCAAAGCCAACUUCCACCAAAAAAAGGUCAUGGUUGCUGUUUGGUGCUCUGCUGCUGGUCUGAUCCACUACAGCGUUCUGAACCCUGGCUUAACUAUUACAUCUGAGAAGUAUGCUCAGCGAACAGCUGAGAUGCAUCAAAAACUGCAAUACCUGCAGCCAGCAUUCGUCAACAGAAAGGGCCCAAUUCCUCUCUAAGACAGUGCCCCACCACAAGUUGCACAACCAAUACUUCAAAAGUUGAAUGAAUUGGGCUACGAAGUUUUGCCUCACUCACCAUAUUCACCUGACCUCUUGCCAGCUGACUACCAUUUCUUUAAGCAUCUCAACAACAUUUUGCAGGGAAAACACUUCCACAAUCAACAGGAUGCAGAAAAUGCUUUCCAAGAGUUUGUCGAAUCCCAAAGGACAGAUUAUGUUACAGGAAUAAACCAACGUAUUUCUUAUUGGCAAAAUGUGUUGAUUGUAAUGGUUCCUAUUUUGAUUAAUAAAGAUGUCUUUGAGCCUAGUUAUUAAUAUAAUAACUUAAAAUUCAUGGUCCAAAACUGCAAUUACUUUUGCACCAACUUAAUAUUAUAAUUUCCAUUUUACAGAAGAGAAAAUGUAGACACAGAGAACAGCAUGUUCAAAAAUCACAGAGCUGGCAAAUGGCAGAUCCAGGAUGUAAAC